rnacentral:ncRNA from 1 species
AGAAGUUAAUAAUACUUCUCGCCGAAAACGAAAGGGUUGCACAACUAGAUUAAAUCUUUGCCACUGUGUUAAUGCGGCCUCUAAGGACCCUAACCAAAGUUAUGGCUGAUGAGUAAAUAGUAGAAAGUCCUAAAAUAGUUUUAAUAAAAUAAAAUUAAUGGACCAGGAAAUUAAUAUUAUUAUCUUAACUUUUUAAUAGAAUAUAUUGUAUUUUUAUUAAUAGAAGAGAUUAUUACUACCGUACCCUAAACCGACACAGGUUCGUAGGUAGGGAAUACUAAGGCG